GAUGAACGCUGGCGGCGUGCCUAAUACAUGCAAGUCGAGCGAACAGACGAGGAACUUGCUCCUUUGACGUUAGCGGCGGACGGGUGAGUAACACGUGGAUAACCUACCUAUAAGACUGGGAUAAAUUCGGGAAACCGGAGCUAAUAACGGAUAACAUGUUGAACCGCAUGGUUCAACAGUGAAAGACGGUCUUGCUGUCACUUAUAGAUGGAUCCGCGCAGCAUUAGCUAGUUGGAAAGGUAACUGCCUACCAAGGCAACGAUGCGUAGCCGACCCGGGAGGGUGAGCGACCCCACUACAACUGAACCACCGUCAAGACUCCUACGGGAGGCAGCAGUAAGGACUCUUCCGCAAUGGGCGAAAGCCUGACGGAGCAACGCCGCGAGGGUGAAGAAGGUCUUCUGGUCGUAAAACUCUGUUAUUAGGGAAGAACAAAUGUGUAAGUAACUAUGCACGUCUUGACGGUACCUGAACAGAAAGCCACGGCUAACUAC
rnacentral:rRNA from 1 species